CAAAUACUCUCUCCGUCCGAAAAUACUUGUUCAAGAAAUGAAUAAAAAUGAAUUUAUCAAGAACUAAAAUACAUCUAGCUAUAUUAAUUUCUUCAACAAGUAUUUCCAAAUGGAGGGAGUAUCAG
rfam:Triticum aestivum genome assembly, contig: Triticum_aestivum_CS42_TGACv1_scaffold_456529_5DS